AUUGAACGCUGGCGGCAUGCUUUACACAUGCAAGUCGAACGGCAGCGCGGGCUUCGGCCUGGCGGCGAGUGGCGAACGGGUGAGUAAUGCAUCGGAACGUGCCCAGUAGUGGGGGAUAGCCCGGCGAAAGCCGGAUUAAUACCGCAUCCGACCUGAGGGUGAAAGGGGGGGACCGAAAGGCCUCGCGCUAUUGGAGCGGCCGAUGUCGGAUUAGCUAGUUGGUGGGGUAAAGGCUUACCAAGGCGACGAUCCGUAGCUGGUCUGAGAGGACGACCAGCCACACUGGGACUGAGACACGGCCCAGACUCCUACGGGAGGCAGCAGUGGGGAAUUUUGGACAAUGGGGGCAACCCUGAUCCAGCCAUGCCGCGUGCGGGAAGAAGGCCUUCGGGUUGUAAACCGCUGUUGUUCGGGAAGAAAUCCUCUGGGCUAAUACCCCGGGGGGAUGACGGUACCGGAAGAAUAAGCACCGGCUAACUACGUG
rnacentral:rRNA from 1 species